AAAAAAAAAAAAAAAAAAAAAAAGGUUAGAAGCCACGGCUGUUCAGUCUCAAAGAGCUGAUUUUUUGUUAAGCCUUUAAAACAAAUAAUGUAAGUUAGGGUAACCUUAUUACUUCAACAUGAAUAAAAUAAACAUGAAAAAAUGGAAGCAAAACAUUAAAAGAACAAAAAAAAAAACUACCUCAUAAUAAAAAUAUCCACCAAACCUGUGGUUGUUCCUUUGCAGCAUUCACAAAGUGAGAUCUUGCCCCCAUUGUUCUGUCAUAAAAUUGGCAAAAUGCUAUUCAUGACUUUAGGAUAUCUCUCAGCAUUUUAUUAGAACUACCAAAAGUGAGCAACCGUUAGGAAUGAAAUACAUCAAACAUUCACUUGCCCAUUCGGCAGAAACACAUUAAACCUCAAAUUAAUUAUCAAAAGUUCAAAGAAAACUGGAGAGUCAAAACUUUGUACAUUUAUGUACACACACUCACACAAAAUUCAAUUGUAAAUACAAAAUUAUUUUUUGCAUUCACGUACAGGGGAUUCCUGAUAAUUCAAACUCGCAUAAAUAAAAAUUCUGCUUAACUUGAAUUCUAAUCAUUUAAUUUCCUUUCUUUGACCUUACUGAAAAAAUAAAAUAUGUAGUCCUUUAUGACCAGUUCCUGAUAAUCCCAAAUUUCACAAGCUCAUACAAAGCCAGCAGUCAAUUCUGACAUUGGUUCAUCUCUAUUAUCACAUUUUGUGUUUUUCAUGUAUGGCAAGUAUGAGGUGUUAUUGGGUGAGUGUACUAUUGGAACUAAGAUACCAAUGCAUCAGGAUUUAAAAAAAAAAAAAAAAAAACUGGUCAAGAAAACCAUUGCAAAGAAACAUAUUUAAUUAUAAACACUUUGUCUAAUAAAAUACUCCCAACAUCCUGCACUCAAUAAGGAAAGUAACUUUGUUAUAUAUAUCCAUAUUAUUCAGUUAUUUGCAUUCCUGAAAUAUACUAUAAGUUAGUCUCUAUUACCGGUGACUUUGAUUUAACAGGAUCACACUGGAAAUUCAUGUAAUAGCAUUUUCUUUCAUCAAACAACUAAAAAGAAAUCUUUGAGAUAAGCCUCAAUUUUGUUAUCAACCAUUCGCAUUUUUAAAAGCUGUACAAUAAGUUAAAAAGUCAAAUAUCACAUAGAACUGAAACAAAUACUGUUUUAAAAUAA